UACGUAGGGGGCUAGCGUUGUCCGGAAUCAUUGGGCGUAAAGCGCGCGUAGGCGGCCCGGUAAGUCCGCUGUAAAAGUCCAGGGCUCAACCCUGGAAAGCCGGUGGAUACUGUCGGGCUCGAGUCCGGAAGAGGCGAGUGGAAUUCCUGGUGUAGCGGUGGAAUGCGCAGAUAUCAGGAGGAACACCGAUGGCGAAGGCAGCUCGCUGGGACGGUACUGACGCUGAGACGCGAAAGCGUGGGGAGCGAACAGG
rnacentral:rRNA from 1 species